rnacentral:RNase_P_RNA from 1 species
GGUAGUGGUAGUAGAAAGCAUAGGGUUCUAAACCCAGGAAAGUCCGCCCAUCGCGCAUCAUGGUUACCUUUGAAAGAAGGGUGGGGAAAUCCCACAGCUCUGGAUUAUAAACGACACGUCCUGCAGAAUGGAAUGAUAGGAAGUCCUAAAUGGCGAAAUCGUCUGAGAAGACGAUGAGUUAACUCCUUGACGUCUCUGCAGGGAACGAUGAAACGGCGAAUCUUAACCGAUGCAAGUCAGUUUGACGCUUAGUAGAAUGCUUUCAUGGAUUAUCGUAAUCCUCACAGAUUAUUUGGGUCCAACAAAAGGUGGCUUACGCUACCCUACC